rnacentral:rRNA from 1 species
AACGCUAGCUACAGGCUUAACACAUGCAAGUCGAGGGGCAGCAUGGUCUUAGCUUGCUAAGGCCGAUGGCGACCGGCGCACGGGUGAGUAACGCGUAUCCAACCUGCCUUACACUCUUGGACAGCCUUCUGAAAGGGAGAUUAAUACAAGGUGUUAUCAUGAGUAAGCAUUUUCGCAUGAUUAAAGGUUUACCGGUGUAAGAUGGGGAUGCGUUCCAUUAGAUAGUAGGCGGGGUAACGGCCCACCUAGUCUUCGAUGGAUAGGGGUUCUGAGAGGAAGGUCCCCCACAUUGGAACUGAGACACGGUCCAAACUCCUACGGGAGGCAGCAGUGAGGAAUAUUGGUCAAUGGACGAGAGACUGAACCAGCCAAGUAGCGUGAAGGAUGAAGGUUCUAUGGAUUGUAAACUUCUUUUAUACGGGAAUAAACGAAUCCACGCGUGGAUUUUUGCAUGUACCGUAUGAAUAAGGAUCGGCUAACUCCGUGCCAGCAGCCGCGGUAAUACGGAGGAUCCGAGCGUUAUCCGGAUUUAUUGGGUUUAAAGGGAGCGUAGAUGGGUUGUUAAGUCAGUUGUGAAAGUUUGCGGCUCAACCGUAAAAUUGCAAUUGAUACUGGCAGUCUUGAGUACAGUUGAGGUAGGCGGAAUUCGUGGUGUAGCGGUGAAAUGCUUAGAUAUCACGAAGAACUCCGAUUG